UUGUCUGUAUUUGGGUUUUGGGUUAACGCGUGACUGUUGUUACGACAAUGAUGAUAGGCGUUAGUUGCGUUACCAUAUGUUUUCCUAAACUCGCUAAAAAAUGAUUUUAACUGUAACUGCGCCACGCACUUUAGUUUCCGGACUUAAUCUAAUGAUAAUACGCACAUUUUUUUUUCAUCACGCAGCGGCUGCGGUCUGUGGGGGAUGUGAAUGUGUCAAGCUCUUGUUUACAGUUUUUUCCUCGGGUUUGAAUUUGUCAGCGUGAUCGUUAAUUCUUCUGAAAAAAACACCAUACGACUUCUUGUUAUCAAUAUAAGCUAUUUAUUAAAAAAUGAAUUGGAAUAUAGAAAUACAUGCGCAUGGACCUUGUCUGAUUAUAACGGUUUCAACAAAAUGAAUAUGAUUGCUUGGCUACAGGUGGGGAGGAGUCGUGGUUUAGACUUAACUCUCCCAUCGUGGUUGUGGACGGGUUGGUCCCGGUCCUUGGCCACUCAGGUCCUCCAUUCCCCUGGGACAGCGCCCUAGAAAGAAGAGAAAGUCCUUCCUACCUGUUCCUCCCUGACAAGGCCUCACAUGCUCUGUACCACGCUCAUCCUGUGACUCCCUCUUUUGCAACUUCUAUCACACUUCAGAACAGCUCCUCAUUGUUUUGUCUCAGACUCGCUAUGUUGCUACUUUCUCAACAUGCAUCACCCCUACGCAAGUAAACUUAAACAGGGUUAAUGCUCUCGACCCUCCCAUUAUCUAGGACCUCAUUCUUUAUUUGAUUAUAUGAAUGUUAAUUAUGUUAAUAUUCACACUUCUAAAUACAACCUAGAAAAUCUCAACUGGUUAUCACGUCAAAUAUCAAAAAAUAAUUCUAACAUUUUCAUGUUCGUGUGUUUUCUUAAAUGUCUGCUUUAACUUCAAUUCCAGGUCCGAGUAUGUUGAUUAGUAAAAUGAACUUGGUAGAAAAAUUAAUAAUUUCUUCUUCAGUACGUUUACAAGCACGUGAAAAAACGAAUUAUUAACCUUAAUGGGACAAUAACAGGAGAACUUAGGCGCAUGUAAACACGUUACUCCGAUUAAAGUCCGAGUUCUCAUUAUCCGAUUGAGACACCCAGAUAAUGCUAUUGGCUCCUUGCACAAUAUGGCGACCGAAUUCGAGUGCGUGGGCCAGUACUUCCGGUCAAAACUUCAGCCGGCGUCGAUUUGAAAGCGAGAGCGGGAACAGCGACAUUGCAUAGCAUAGCAGGGAGAUACUUUCUCAGUAUGAGUGUUUUUAAGAUUCAAGAGAGACGAUUCGUCUUUCAGAGGGUGAGCGCCUCAGCACUUCAUUGUUGUGUGCCAUUAUGCACAGUUUCGUCACGGCACAGUAAGCAGGUCAGCUUUCAUUCAUUCCCCGUUGAUGCUGCGGUACGGGCGGAGUGGAUGCAGAAGAUCAGGAGGGAUGACUUCAACCCAACCAAAAAUACCCGAGUCUGUAGUUGGCAUUUUAAGCAGAGUGAUUUUCAUGACUGCCGGGUCGCUGAGGAAGCUGAAGAAGGGAGCUGUACCCGUUUACUUUUUGUGGAACGGGUAUGAACUACCUGUGUCCAGACUUAAGCGUCUGGGAACGGCGUCCGCAAGCCAAGAAUCCCACACCAGACUCGGACUCGGAGAUGGAGACCGAAAUAGCUCCAGAUCAUGACUACUGUGUAGUCCCUCAAACAGGAGUGAGGGCAGAUUUGGCCAACGAGAACGAAGCUCUACGUUGCCAGAUUAGGGAGCUACAACAGCAGUUGGAAGUCCUCAAACGUGAGGUUUUCUCAACGUACAAGUCGUGCACAACAUUCAAGGCCAUGAUUGGCAUGGCGCUCCAUGGUGCUGUCACCUUUGUGUCUGGCCUGUAUGCAGGUUCUAUAUGAGUGAUGGUGGGAUCGUAAAGCUGCUGAAGCCGGGUAUGGCCAUCAUGGUGGACAAAGGCUUUCUUGUGGACAACCUUGCUCCCUGUAAGGUGUACUGGCCUGCCUUUCUCAGCAACAAACAACAAAUGAGUCGAGAGGAUGUCAAACAGACACAGUUGAUUGCACGUCUGAGAGUGGAUGUGGAGAGGUGCAUAACGUCGCUGUCCAAUGAAAAACACGUAUCUCCACUUUUGAAGUCUUCCGCGUUAUACAGUAUACAGCAUGUCCGCAUUCUACCCUAGCAACUGACGCGGUCGGUAUCUAUAUGACCAAUAGGACGGUGCUUUAUGACGCAAUCUAUUUAAAACGUAUCUCCAUUGGAUGCCAAUCAAAAAGCACGCAUCUCCCGCUGCGUUCGGUCCAGCUGUCAACCCGUCCACUGUUGGAGAAUAGCGUCUGUGAAGUGGAGUACAACAUACAACUUUAUCGUUCGCUGUCAAGGUAAAGUAUGACCAUAAACUCAAUGUUUGACAACUGUAUGUUUGCACUAGGUAAUAAUCAUUCGCAGUUGUAAUUUGUAUGGAUUAGCUACAUGACGUAGUUGAACAUAUUUUCGUUAUUUACUCAGGGCUUUCCACAAUUCUGUUGACAUUGAUACAUUUAUUUUAAGCCGAUGGUUUUUGCUGCCGUCAACCUCCGCUAAGGUUGCUAUAUCCGUAAACCAGACUUUAUUCUUUUUUAUAUCCUAUUAUCUUUGUUUUGAUAACGUUUACUUGAUUGAUGUAUUCAUCUAAUCUAAUGUGUCUGACGUACGCAAUGUUUCCUCUUUUUCAGGAGAGAUAUAUGUCUCUAUCUUUAGAAGAGAUUUGUGCUAUUGCCAAAGUACAGUAUAACAGGGCAUUUGAGACAGAGGCAGACAGCAAAAGUGAAGAAGGUUUGUGGAGUUAAAAAAAAAUAGGGUUAAGUCAGCCAGUGUCCUGUCUUUCCUCUCUUCCUCAGCCAGUUUGUCAGUAUUGCGUUUAGUGUACUAAAUGUGUUUCUUUUUAUUUUUUCACUCGAAGAAUCACUUGAAAGUGAAAAAGGAGACUCUCCUGAAUACAUUCCAGAAGAAUCUGAAAAUGAAAAUUCAGAUGGAAGUGAACAGGGUGAUACUCCUGUUUCUGGCACAAAUGGAUCUGAACAUGAAGUGGGAGAAGCAGUUGAGGUGGACUCCUCAGGUGCUGAGGCUCGUCUGGGAAGGCAGAGAAAGCGGCCAAAUCCCGAGACUUGGAAGGUCAAUGUCCAGAAAAGGAGGCGAAUGAGGGGUCAGUCCUAUCUUGGUAGGAAAAGUAAUGAGGCUGUCUUGAAGGAGGCGAGACAAAUGGGCAUGCCAUGCCAGUCUGCGGCUUGCCAAAAGUCCUCCAAACUGAACUGCAGACAUAUUGACAAAUCAAAGAGAGAGGAGACUUUCAAGUACUUUUGGGAGAAAUGAGACUGGAGAGAGAGGAAAUUUUUUGUCUAAUCAUUAAUGGAGUUGAACAGUGUGAAGCGCCGGCGGACAGCAGCAGAAGAGUCCAGGAUGUCACCAUCCAUUAUUUAUCACCUUGUUGUGGAUGGUAGAAGGUUUCGAGUGUGUCAACACAUGUUCUUGUCCACAUUAGGGAUAAAGCAGUGGUUAUGUUUGAAGUGGGUGGGGAGAAGAGGGAAAAGUCCUCAGCAGACUGAGAGAGUGAGAGUGAGGGUGGCGACAGAUGAGCAGAACUUCUUGAAGAACUUCCUUCUGGACUUACCUAAAGUUCCAUCGCACUACUGUAGGUCCUCUUCUUCAAAGAUGUAUCUGGAGCCUGUGUUCAAGUCCAUCAAUUACCUCUACACACAGUAUAAGUGCUCUUGCGCAGAACAUGAUAUCCAGCCUCUGUCAAGGCAAGUGUUUUCCAAGUGUUAUCCAAAAAAAAGACCAGUGUGAUACCUGUUGUACAUUCAAGGCUGGGAACAUUGACACUGCCAUUUGGGAGGAGCACUGCCUUAAAAAAGACAGUGCUCGAACCUGAAGCAGAAGGACAAGGAAGAGGCAGGUGAGAAGACCUUGUUGGUGUGCAUGGAUCUGCAGGGACUUCUGCUCUGCCCCAAGCUACAAGCCUCUGCCCUCUAUUACAAAACCAAGCUUUCUGUUCAUAACUUCACCAUUUUUGACAUGGUAUCACAUGAUGCAACAAAGUACCUGUGGCAUGAGGGUGAAGCUGGUCUUUCUGCGAAUGAGUUUGCUUCAUGCAUUGUCCAUUAUCUUGAAGCACACCCAUCAUGUGAAGAAUACAUCCUGUGGAGUGAUGGAUGUGGCUACCAGAACCGCAAUCUGCUCUUGAGUAAUGCCCUCGUCAGGUUUGCUUCUAUGAAGCAGAAGCCUGUGACACAGAAAUUUCUUCACAGGUCACACACAAAUGGAGUGUGAUUCUGUGCAUAGUGUGAUAGAGAGAAGACUGAGGCACAGAGACAUCCAUGUUCCAGCUGAGUAUGCUGCAGUGAUCCGGAGUGCUCGCUACAAUCCCAGGCCGUACCUAGUUAUUUAUGUCGACCACACUUUUUUCAUGGACUUCAGCCAAGUGAAAAUCUGCAAGUCCAUCCGACCGGGAGAAACCACUGGUGAUCCUACAGUGCAUGACGUCCGAGCAAUCUUACACAUAUAUACUCAAAUAAAUGUUGCUUUCUGUUUUCAGCAGUGUACUCCAGUAACACAUUAAUAGAUCUGACAAUUCUCUCUUAAAAUAUAUGUGAAACAACUCUGACGUCGUGAGGCUUCUCAGUUUUCUUCAUGGACCUGUAGCAUACAGCCCUGACAGUCACCCUCCCUGUAACGAUUUUGUUUUCAGCCAGUCUUGGGAAGAGCACAGACUACACCUGCAGCAGGUCCUUCAGCCAAUCAAAGCAGCUGGCCUGACCAUCAACCCACACAAGUGUGCUGUGGCCUAAAGGGAAGUGGCGAACCUGGGCUACAUCAUUGGUUUCGGGAAGAUCAAGCCACAACGGGGGAAGGUGGAGGCCAUCCAUUCUUUCCCGGUCCCCACCACAAAGAGGAAGGUGAAAAAUAUUCUGGGCGAGGUGGGUUGGUACAGGAAGGAAAAGGAGAGGAAACGCUAACCCUAACAAAGUUGUGCACAUUAUUGGAAAGGUACACCGUAAGCAGUGCACAAGUGUUUGUGAAUAUGUAUGUGCAAUACCAUCGUGGUAAAUGAGGACAUUAGUGUUGUUGUGGUAAAUUACGUUGUUUGUGGUUAGCACUUACUUGUCCAGUCCAGUGUCUGCUCUGCGGUGCGCGGCCUAAAGGAUUCCCCCGGGGGCACAGCCCCUUCAUAAAGAGUCCGGGAGAGACCAAGUGACAAGAUAGGAAGUGGGGGGAUUUUCAAAUCAGGGUGGGUUUUUUUUCUAUUUAUUGUAUUUAUAUUUUAGGGGUGUUUUGGGGAUAACGACAGCAGCAAAAUGCAGUAUUGUAAAUAUGAUGUGUGCAGGAGACAUUGAAUAUUUGUCUAUGGUGAGUUAGCCAUGUGAUAAAUAGGUAAAUUUACCUGUAAAGUGGAAGAGUCCAGUAAUUAAUCCAGUGGCACAGUACUUAAGGCGCCAGUUAACAUCUGUCUGUGUUGCAGGUCGGACCACAAGAGACAUUUCACCCUUUGCUGUUGCUGUUAUUGUUGGGUACUGAUUAAUAAAAAGAAAGAAAACCA